AGAGUUUGAUCAUGGCUCAGGAUGAACGCUAGCUACAGGCUUAACACAUGCAAGUCGAGGGGAAACGACAUCGAAAGCUUGCCUUUGAUGGGCGUCGACCGGCGCACGGGUGAGUAACGCGUAUCCAACCUGCCCAUCACUUGGGGAUAACCUUGCGAAAGUAAGACUAAUACCCAAUGACGUCUCUAGAAGACAUCUGAAAGAGAUUAAAGAUUUAUCGGUGAUGGAUGGGGAUGCGUCUGAUUAGCUUGUUGGCGGGGUAACGGCCCACCAAGGCGACGAUCAGUAGGGGUUCUGAGAGGAAGGUCCCCCANAUUGGAACUGAGACACGGUCCAAACUCCUACGGGAGCA
rnacentral:rRNA from 1 species